UGCCUACGGGGCGCAGCAGUGAGGAAUAUUGGUCAAUGGGCGAGAGCCUGAACCAGCCAAGUCGCGUGAGGGAAGACGGUCCUAUGGAUUGUAAACCUCUUUUGCCGGGGAGCAAAAAGCGGUACGUGUACCGCAUCGAGAGUACCCGGAGAAAAAGCAUCGGCUAACUCCGUGCCAGCAGCCGCGGUAAUACGGAGGAUGCGAGCGUUAUCCGGAUUUAUUGGGUUUAAAGGGUGCGUAGGCGGAGUGUCAAGUCAGCGGUAAAAUUUCGGGGCUCAACCCCGUCGUGCCGUUGAAACUGACAC
rnacentral:rRNA from 1 species